UGUUUUUUUGUUCUUGUUUUGGUGUUUUGUGAGCAAUAAUGGUGGACGCCAGACCCUCCAAUAAUGGUGCAUCGUUAACAUUUCCUGAUUCAUUAGGCAGUCGCCAUAAUUGACGAGGCGCGGGAACACCUACAAACUUCAAAAACUUGUGGGGCUCUCGAACCAAUCGCCACACAUCAUCAUCCGUUUUGCUGUCAGUUUCAAAGCAAUUGGGGGAUUCCAAUCCAAUUUUGCUCCAUCAAUUCUUCAUUAGGGGAACCCUAUUUGAGCUCCUCACGCCAAUGGCUGAAGAUCGAUUGGGUCCCCCUGUGCCUUGAUAACAAUCUCUCAGCGUUGAUGGAUCAGCUAAGCCAAGCUGACCUAACAACGGGCGCUUUCUGCUUCCUGUUAUGCAAUCCAUUACUUGUUUGUCUCCCUCCGCGAGGAAAAGUAUUUAUAAGCAAAAGAAGCUAAAACCAGAGAAUCUCAGCAAAAUUAAUGGAAAUAUGGGGUCCUUGUCGACGCAGAAGGGCGCAAUCUCAUCUGCGAAUGCAUUGAAUAAUGCGAAUUAACGCCACUGCCAGUUUCACAUGUUGCUUCUGCAUUCCACUCUCCCGUCGAGCUUCAAAUUGUUACAUCAAUAAACAGAGCUUCUUCAGAGAAAACUGGCGGAGAGGUAAAGAAGUAAAGGGUAAUAAUAAGAAAAGAAGAAGAAGACUCGUGUAAGGUUAAUACAUAGUUUGUAACAUGGUUGCUUAAGCGCUGGAUCAUCGACUGCAGCCGGUGGAUCCUUUCCAAAUAUCAUCUCACAGCUCAUGUCAUCAAAAUCUGCAAAGAAAGACACUUAUUUUAAUCAUAUUUUUAAAUACUUCUUGCCGCCCCCAUUUGCUCCCAGAUUCCCCUUGCUUAUUGACGUGUUUCUUGGUCUUUGACAUUAAUACUAGUGGUUCCCAGCUAUUAGUUACAUCAUGGUGCAUAAUUAACGCCUAAGAAAAAUGCCUUUGCUUGGUUGCAUUUUUUACACCUGUGAUGAUUGAUGUAUAUCAUGACCAAGAGCGAUACCUGGCUCAGUGGGAAAUCCAGCUUGAUGAUUAAUUAACGAUGGGAAUUCAGCUUCUAACUCUUGGAUUAUAACCAUAUUGCAAAAUUAAGCUGCAGGUUAGAAAUCCCACUUAGCUUGGAUGGGCCUAUCUGCAGUUCUUUUGUACCCAAAAUGGUUCGUGCAUGGGACCCUCCAUUCACAUUGACAACCAUGAUCCUUUCCACCAUUUGGUGCUGGGACAGGACAAGUCUAGAAGGGACUAGUGCCUCAAACACUGCAGGGUCCAACUAACCAAGCAAAGAAGACAGUGGUGAAUGCAGCAAAAUAUUCCCUUGCGAAUUUGGAUUGAGUUUCUUGACGCCAUUGUUGCCACUUCCACCAAGCUUUCAUAUCCACUCUUCUUGCUUCUCCAACCUGAAUAUACAUCAUAAGUAAUUCUAUUGUCCAAAUCUUCAAAACAGAAAAGAAAAGAGAUCACCUGAGGUUGCUUGUACUGCCUGAGAUACAUGGUGGAUGGCUAUUUUCUCAAACCAGUUGUCUGCAUAAACAGUGUUUGGUUUUCUUGUUU